rnacentral:rRNA from 1 species
AUAGAGACUCAGAGCUGCAUAUCAAUAAGCGGAGGAAAAGAAACUAACUAGGAUUCCCUUAGUAACGGCGAGUGAAGCGGGAAGAGCUCAAAUUUGAAAUCUUCAAGGUUCUACCUUGACGAAUUGUAGUUUAAAGAAGUGUUUUCUGUUGGAGUUUUGGUAAAAGUUCUUUGGAAUAGGACAUCAUAGAGGGUGAGAAUCCCGUAUUUGACCAUUUCUUCCAGCUGUGUGAUACACUUUCAAAGAGUCGGAUUGUUUGGGAAUGCAGUCCAAAAUGGGUGGUAAAUUUCAUCUAAAGCUAAAUAUUGGCGAGAGACUGAUAGCGAACAAGUACCGUGAGGGAAAGAUGAAAAGAGCUUUGAAAAGAGAGUUAAACAGUACGUGAAAUUGUCAAAAGGGAAGCGUUUGACACCAAUGUUGUUUUCUCGAAAAUCAAUUAAAAAUGACCGGAUUUUGUGUUGUAUUGACUUUAUCAGCUUUCUGCACUUUUUUCUUGUCUUUUUUAAUGCACUUUUCGUUUAACAAGUCAACAUCAAUUUCUUUUGUUGUAAAAGAGUCAUUGGAAGGUGGCUUUCAUUUCGGUGAAAGUGUUUAUAGCCUUUGACUUCUGCAAUCGGAGAGAUUGAGGUCUGCAGCGUAGAUCCUUCGGGGUUAGAUACAUUUGUGCUAAGUUAUAGUUUUUCAUAGACAACAUGUUGACUAUGAUUAAUCAUGUAGCUUACUCGCUUAUGCUAUUUUACCUACGCUUAGGAUGUUGACGAGACUGUCGAUCUC